AGAAAAAAGCAGAAGCGCCCGCUUCUCGCCUAGCAGACAUGAGCCUGUGGGCCGAUGAACGAUUUAAUAUUCAAUUUUAAGCGGGGAACUGUGAAGAGUUUCCCGCUUUUCUGCUGCA
rfam:Lactobacillus ghanensis DSM 18630 NODE_11, whole genome shotgun sequence.